UAGGGAAUCUUCGGCAAUGGACGAAAGUCUUACCGAGCAACGCCGCGUGAGUGAAGAAGGUUUUCGGAUCGUAAAACUCUUUUGUUAGAGAAGAACAAGGACGUUAGUAACUGAACGUCCCCUGACGGUAUCUAACCAGAAAGCCACGGCUAACUACGUGCCAGCAGCCGCGGUAAUACGUAGGUGGCAAGCGUUGUCCGGAUUUAUUGGGCGUAAAGCGAGCGCAGGCGGUUUCUUAAGUCUGAUGUGAAAGCCCCCGGCUCAACCGGGGAGGGUCAUUGGAAACUGGGAGACUUGAGUGCAGAAGAGGAGAGUGGAAUUCCAUGUGUAGCGGUGAAAUGCGUAGAUAUAUGGAGGAACACCAGUGGCGAAGGCGGCUCUCUGGUCUGUAACUGACGCUGAGGCUCGAAAGCGUGGGGAGCAAACAGG
rnacentral:rRNA from 1 species